GGCUUGGACUGAACAGAACAGCUGCCUGUAAUUAGCAAAAUGCAAGGAGGGUGAUUUUUGCAUAAGCACUGACCUUCCUAAUGGUCAACCCCAUGGUUAGCUCAAAGCAGGCAAGUCAGAAGUGAACAGGUUUUUUGUUCUGUUUUUUUUUGUUUGUUUGUUUUAGAGGAUCGUGUCUGCUUUGUCUUGCUGGUAAGAAGGAUCCAGCAGGACUCAUUUACUGAUUUCACUGCUUAUUGCACAUGUGUGUGAGGUACAGAGGAAACUAGAGGAGAAGGGAGAGAAGAUGCAAAUCCUUGUACUUGACAUGAAGAACAGGUGAGCUGAGAACAAACAGAUGGAGCAAACAACACAAAGAGGAUCCAGAGAGACGCUUCCCAGAGAGGUACAGUCUGGCUAACUCAUCUUGUCCACGCACAUUUCUGUACAAGACUAUGGGCUGCAAAUCAAAAUCAACAAAAGGCUUUGGGCCCUCUGGGAAGUCACAGGUUCAGACUUGAGGGAUUAACAACAGAUUAUAACUGUGAUGAUGGUGAAGAAAACAACAUUAUGGCCUUAGAAAUGCCAAACUAUCCAACUAUCCAUUUGCCUGUGCCUGAAUCUACGACUCAACGUUAACUUCCCACAGAAGCCAGCAAAGUCCAACACCACUGUAAGACUCAUCCUUCAGAAGUUUCCCAUCCUAGGCAAUUUACAUAGGAACAGGCUGGAACAAGAAAACCACGAUAUAAAGAGAAGGCAGAACAAGACCCAGACAGAUAAAGGGAAACCCAAAUAAGAACAAGCAGUGUCAGACAUGUUCUCUAGGAAUACCCAAAGCACAAGGAAGAGUUGGUGCUCAGCCGAAUACUCAAGUCAGCACCUUGCCUCAAAGCGAGGAGCAUGAAGACUUCCUCUUCCCUUCAGCGUCUGGAGCAGAGACAGCAGAGCCAGGCAGGUUUGCAAGAUUCCCCAGAAGGCUUUUAAAGGCCCAAGAACUGAAGGGUCAAAGCCGCACAUGCAAUCCUCCCACUACUGAAUCUUCGCUUGCCUGAAAGUUUCCAUUUCCUUCAGACUGGAAGCCAUGCAGUUUUGUGUAACUUCUGCCAGCUCCUCUAUGGGAGCAGAACUUCCCCAAAACAGCUCAUGGAAAUUCGUGGACUUAUCUCCCAAGUUUAUUCUUGGGACAACAAUUUGAGUGACAAGCCACCCUCAGCCACAAACCACAGCAGCCACAAAGCGUUGGACUGUGAAUUACUGCGGCUACCUUACAAUACCAUUACCACCUCCUACUGAGAUGCCACCAUUCACUUCACACAGCGCAUUCAGCGUUUUUGUAAGAAGGGAGGCGCAAUGUCACUGCAAAGGAAGAAGGUGCAAUGUCACUGCAAAGGAAGAAGGUGCAAUGUCACUGCGAAUGGAACGUGCUACAGGGCUGUCCGUUGUGAACUCGUCAAGCUCAUCUUUAUUUUAGGCAGUCUCAGCAGGGAAUUCAGCAGGCUCAUCGCUCUCCACUCUCAUACAGCUCAUGGGGACAGGCUCACUCAUCUGGACUGCAGGUCACAGCAAAACCUUAAUUUAGCUUCCCUGAGACUGUGGCAACUCUCUGUCCAGAUUUGGUAAAUGUCCUCAAUCUUUGAAUCUCGGGUUUUUGACAUAGCUUUUCUGACUGCUCUGCACAAGAAGCCAAGUACACACAGUGGUAUUAUUUAGUGUGUGUCCCCCUUCACUCCUACUUAUUCAUCUCAAAAGUUAAAAUGAAAAUACCCCCAAACCCACAGUGCUAUCAGGCCUUUUCAGCCAAGGACCAAAAUGUCAUCCUAACACUGCAGACUCGUGUAAUUAUCACAUUUUUUAUAGACAUACAGUUAAUCUAUUAUUGGUAUCAUCCACCACCCGUGUCAGACCAUAUUUGCCCAGUGCUCCUGCAGGGACAGGCAAUCUGUCUUAAGUUAUAAACUUAAGUCAUAAACUUAAGUUAUGAUGAGAGGCUCUUUUAUGCUGAAUGUAGAGCAGACUCACUGCAGAGCUCAGUUCUCUCCUUUUGGCUGCAAACACAUUUUGAUACACGUUUUUUGCUCCAUUUUGUAUUUCCACCACCGCUUAAAAACCAUGAAAUUUGGUUUCAAGCAAGCGAAAGUGUAGAUUUAACAGAACUCCAGGUAGAAAAUGAGGACACGCACUUCACCCAGCAAAAGAAAACCUCUCAGCUUCAAUACACAGGAGCCAAGCUAUUAAUCAGAGCCUGAAAUCCAAGCCUAGUAAGUCAUAUCGUUAUCUAAGCGCUCUUGGAGCACAAAGACAACAGAGAGUAACUGCUGGAGGUCUCCAUGGAUCAGGCUGCUCAAAAUACUUCUCCUUUCAUGCACGCCCAUAUAACUCACGGGAUAUUAUAUACCAGCAGCUCAGCGCUAAAUCAAACAUCCCCUCCUUGGCUAGAUGAACUCAGUUCCCAUUACGGUAUUUAAAUAUCAGGGCCUGUAGUUGGAUGCAAGAGUUGAACAUGAGCCCAAUACCAUACUGGGACCAGUCCAUUCAUAUGUUUCCUUGUAAACAGAAGGAAGGACUGUGCUGAUUUAUGCAUAUUUUUAUUUCCAUCUAACUGCUGAUGUCUACGCUGUUCUUCCAGUGAUUACACAAACCAUAAGGCAAAAUAUUCCAAAAAGGAUCUGCGUUUCUAUAGAUGUAAAUCUGGCAUUACAAGUACAAACACAUUUGUAAACAAUCGCUCUGAUUUCAGUUAACAUCUGCUUUCCUUCUCAGCUUUUGGAUGACCAUGCUCUUCCCCACACACUAUUUUCUUAUACUUAAUAUCACUAUUUUAAAGUUCACUUGGCAGAUAAGAAAUCAGUAAAUAAAUCCUAGCAGAAAGACAAACUGCCCUGCUUGAACAGCUCUUAGGUCAGGAUUCAUAAUACAGCUCUCAAAGCUUUUGUAUCAGAUAUCAUAUGGAAUUAUUUUACUGAACACACUGUUUUUCUGGAAAACAGUAGACAUUAAUGAAGAAGAAAGGAAAUCACUUGCAAUGACUGAUGUACUAUGGCUGAGACCUUUUUUCAACCUAGCUUGUUUAUACUUCAGGUUUAAGUUUUCUUACUGAAAUUUGAGUGUCCUUUAUCUUCCAUUACCUUUGGCAGUGGUUCUUUGGCUUUCAGUUCUGCACACCACCAGUGAAAUAGUUCAAUUUUGGCUUAUCGGAAAGUCAAAGAGGUAAGAUUCAGAACAGACAAAAGAAAAGGCAGUUCUUGCUUCUCGCUAAGUUGUUGUUUCUUCAAGGCAAGAACACACAGCACAGCAUCUGCUCCAACACAACAGAAACUCCACAGCAAGUUCAGCAGCCCUAAAUAAUACCAGCAGAAAGCCAAGAGGAAGACCUUGGACAAGAUUCACAGCUGCUGAAAACAGCUGGAAUAAAAACUUUUCCUCAAAAGCGUUUCUGAGGGUAAAAUUAAGCUUAUUUUAGUGAAUGGUGAUAGAAACGUUUAUUUUAGAGUUUGCACUUAUCCAAGCUAAAGCUCCAACAAAGCUCAAAGUACACCGAUACUCCGUAAAGAGGCAGAAAGACUGUAGCUCUGCUAUCAGCAGGGUAUUCUGUAUGCAAUUGAUUUUCUUUUCAUUAACACUCCCAUUUUGUCAUAACAAACUACUGGUAUCCAAGUAAAACAAGUUUUUUGCCUUGCGAUUUCUGGUUCUCCCUCCACACAUUUCUUAAUCAUUUAAUUCCAUAACAGCUUCCUUGUGCAAUCAGAAUUAUCUGCAUCAUCUCUGUGCCAGCCUGAUUCAAAGGAGGAGACAAAUGAGGGGUUGCCAAGAGAAGAAGGGAAAGGACCCAGAAACAGCUGGUAUUACGAAGACACACUGCAGUACUGUAGACAUCCCUGCACCACAAUUUUGCUAGAACAUCUAUUGAUCCUAGUCGAUGGAUCAGCAGCAUCUGCUGCCAUCCAGAGUGUAACCAUCUGUGCACUCAUUUCCAAACCCUAGAAUCCUAACUACUCUAGCAGGUUAGACAGUCAUUGGCAGAAUUCUGCUCACCUCCUGGCAUGAGUAGAGGCACCUCCGUGUCACAGAGGCACUCGGCCCCUCUUUCACCUCUCCCUACCCUCUCCUCCCAUUUCCCCUCCCAGCUGAGCUCAGCUGUGUCCUGAAUAUCAGUCCCUCCAGAAGUGGCUAACCAGCCUUCUUCCUCACGCAGAAGCAAGAAUUGAUAGGAAAAGUAAAUCUUCAAUAUCUCUAAUGGGUAAAAAGACAGGGGAGUGUGGAACGAAAAGAAGAAAGAAGGAAAGGACAGCAGUUUCAAAAAUUACUACACUGUGGAUCAACAUCUGGAAAGGUUUGAAUAGGUACAGUUCAGUGAAGUUCAGGAAAGUCAACAGAAAAUGCAAAGCAGGGCUUAUAAAAGAAAAUCUCAGUUGUGGUUAUAUCUGCAUCAGAGGAUUCUGCACUGAGCGCACAUGAGGAUUUUGUAAGAAACAAGCAAUAGCUUUCCCUCUUUUCAUGGAACAAGACCUGAUGAGCUCACAGAUCUAUUUCCCUGCAGUGAGAGACCCUCGUGCCUCCCUCCAUCCCAGCAUCAGUACUGACAGUAGUCAGAGACCUCUCUUUCUGUGAGACUCUGGAAAUUCACCUGUUUCAGGGCUGCCUUUGGAAAUACCCACUUUUCUGCACAUGCAUGACUAUUCCCUUGGUUGCCAGCACAAUCACAUUUGUAUCAGCUACAACUGGUUCAGUGUGCAAUAAAUCUGGUCCAGCUCUUUUCAACUCGUGCAAUGAACAACACAUGCCAUCUUAGCCUGUAUCUUCUCCGCCAGCUCUACUUUGGGGAUGAUGCUUUUUAUGAGCUGGUGUCACUGAGGGCAUCCUGUGUCCUUGUUUGCCCAGAGUACACCUGCGGUUCAGCUGGCUGCUGCUUUCCCAUUAGCUCCAAUCAAUGGAGCUAAAAUGCCACAAAGAUUAUCAUCCUGGAGUACUUGAUUUUUAUUUACACUCCUAGGGCAGAUGGUUUGGAUUCCUGAAGCCAGAGCUGCACUGCUUCAGGGAGCUUCUCUCCUAGAUGAUACUAAACAUCUCAUCAUCCUGCUGGAACUGUUUGGCCUACUAAUUCCAAGUGUGUGUUUUGCCUUACUGGUUUUAGGAAAAAGGCAUUCUUUUGAGGAUGGUGGGCUAAAGCCAUCUGCUUAACAGCAUGCUUCACAUUUACUUCAAAGGAAGAGAGUCUCUGGGGAGAAGGGAGGAAUUAGACCAUCAGCUAACCUGUAAAAUCAAAAGGCAAUACAGAGUGGAGCAGCAAUCAUCUCAGCAUCAUUUUGAAGUCUUACUGAAAUUCUAGCACCUGCGCAACUCCUUCCUCACCAGGAACACCGGCUCAGGUACUCAGGCAAGGGAAGGAAACAUAAAACCCAUGCUGUGGAGGACCUUGAAACUUUGCCAGCCACUGACAUGACCAACUCACACUCAAGCCUGCCAUUUUUUCCUAUCUGGGGCAACAAUGGCUGAUUACAGACAGCAGAAAAGAUCUAAUAUUCAACUUCACCUCUACGUUAAUAAGAAUGACAAUGACAGCUACUUUUUCCCUUGUUAUGAGUGCAGUACUUGUAUACACUGUGUAUGCUAGUUUACAUCUACAAAAUACAUAUCCAGAAGCAAUGUGCUACCACCACUGACCAGUUUUUGCCUAUUUAUCAGGCAGACAGAGCCCCUCUUAAACAAAGUCAUGCUUUCUGGUAAAAUAUGAGUCAGAAAACUGACGGUCUGAAAUGUAUUAUAUAAAACAUAAGGGGAAUGUUGAAACUGCUGUCAGGUUCAAUGGGCAGGUCCAGUGUUCAUGCUUUGAAGCACUUCAACCUCUUGUUUACACACACACACACACAAAGAAACUCCAAGCUCUGAGAUUUUUUGUUCCCACACUGUCCUCCAGAUUUGCAUAGCGUUUAAUCCCAAAAGGGCAGCUUUAGAGUACCAACCAUCACCUGCACAGUUCAGCCCUUCUCAGCUAUGGAAAUAUCUUUGGCUUAAAAUCAAAAUGCUCCUAAAUGAGAUUUUUUUUUUCACAUGGUAAAUUCCUUAGACUUUUCUGUCCCUUAGCAGUUUCACGUGAAGGCACAGAACAGAAUUAGGCAAAGAAUUAAGGUGGCUUAGGUAAUUACUGCAGCACAUGCUAUCAGUUCAAGACAGAAGAUUAGUACAGCAAGCUUUUAGUUAAAGGAGGUCUUCCCCUGUACUGGGAAAGGAAUUGUCUGCUUUUUUUUCUACCUUGUCCAUCUAAAACAACAGUUAUCUGAGUAAUGUACCGUGUCAAAGUGACAGCGUACAGCUCAUAAAAACUUCCCAGAGGCACUUUUUCCUCUUACUUAAAAACUGAAGAAGUUUUAAGAUGAAGUUGAAGAGCCACUGACAGUCCAGAAUAUAGACAGCUACCCACCCUGUAGCUUUAACGGCAGCGCAAGUCUUAUAUUGAAUUACUUCCCUCUAUAUCUGGCAUCAUAAAUCACGUCACUUUUGGUCAAGAUUGAUUUCUAACAAAAACUGCCUGGUAAAGAAAAAUGUAAAGACCAUUCUUAAUCCAGAACGGCUUACUCAAGAAGCUGCAAGCAAAUCACUCAGUUAAUCAAGACAGAAGUGACCGCUCAAUGGAAACGUUUCACAUUCACUCAUACCUACUCCAAAAAGAAAAGAACGAUUCAUCAUUUUAUUUCACAGAUAAUUUUCCCUGCUAUGCCCACACCCCAUUUAUCAAACACAAAAUGUUCCAUUUUAUUAUCUUAUCUCAAACUUUGCACUGAUUAAUUUAGUAUUAACCAGCUGUGUUCUGUGAUUUUGACUUUCCUCUCAAGGGAGGUCGCUAUAGGAGAAUUUUAACUAAAAAUGUUUGUAUCAAUUCUUCAAUUUGCAUAGAAACCCUACAAGUACAGCAGGACUGCAGUGUCAGAGUGUGAAAACCAGAAGGCAAGCUGAAGCAAUGCUGCUUUUGUAUUUGUUUCACAUAAAUCAUAUCCAAAUUAAUCUUGUGAUGCCAAGGUCAUGGAUUUUGAUCACAUUAAGUUGAUAACAAACUAAGCUGUACUGCUCAACAGCUCUACUAUCUUGUAUUACCAUGGUAAUUUUGUGGUUUGUUUUCUAACAAAGAUAUCAGUGGAGGCAGGAUGACACUGUACCUUUAAAUGUACCACCCCCAUCGAUAAUCCUCAUCAAAAGCACAUUAUCAUUUCUCUUGAGAAGACGACAAUUGCAUUCCUUGCCUCCUCUUCCACUGCAGUGGCUGCUCAUCUCAGACACUUUCAGAAAUCUCUGAAAGCAGAAUUCAGACCUGAGCAGUUCAUCCUGGCCUUUGUAUGGGUGGAAAAUGCUCUCCUUUGUACUCACGUUGCUCCAGGCCCAGGCAUUUGUGACUGCUUCGCAAGGGCAUGUUACAAUGCUGACUUGUUAAAACUUUUUCAAACUCAAGACAGUUUUAAGUACCAGUCUGAUCACAGCCAAAGAAACACCGAUACCCUAGAAAUAAAAGACGUUUUCUAAAUCCUACACCGCACAUCCUUAAGUCACUUGAAUAAACCUUUUGUAACCCAACAAGCUCUACUGAAGCACCUCCCAGCUGAAAACACCAUCAAAGGUGACUAACUCAAACACGUUGCUGCUAUCUGAAACAACUCACAAGCAAAAAGAAGUGAAGUUUGAGUAGGUCAUUUCAGUCUGUGCAGUGAAUUUCUUCUAAGGAACUAAGUGACACUGCAAAGAUAAGGCUGUUUUUGUGUGUUUUUGGCUGAGUAGUUUAAGUAGCACACAUGAGUGGCUGGGGGAGCACAAUGAAAAAACCUUAAAUGUUGCUGGAAAUGAAACUUACUGACUCUGUGCAAAUGAGAAAGAUGUUAGAGGCAAGCUUGAAGAGUUCAACCAGGGAAAAAUUCAGCUCACAGACACCUGUGCACACAGCAGCCUGCAAAGUGCCCUUCGCACAGCACUGACUGGGUGGGGAGAGCUGAAGUUGCCCCAGCGAAGAAAGAGAGAAGGUAGAACAUGGCCAGCAGAGUUCAGAGCUUCACUUAGGCAGGAGGUUUUCUCCAAGUCAAGCACUUGCCAGAUUGAGAUGCAAAACUGUGCCCACAGAGUGACAACCAGAAGUGACAACAUGGGAAAAGCUGUUAGAUUAGGAUGAGAUUUAUUUUCAUUCACACAAGAUCCCUGACAUAACUGUCCCUUUGAAGACUUUCAAUGCUGGGCUUUUAAGGCUUGCCAAAGGCAUGCAGGGUAGCUGUGGAAGGGCAAAGCUCAGGUGCCAUGUGUUGCAUCCAAGCAGGUGUGCCCAACUCCUUCCUGUGGGUACUGGACCAAUAUCUGAAUUUAACUAGGCCUAACAUAUAUGUAGCUUAAUUCAGGAACACCGCUCCUUUCCCCCAGCUCAAAAACAACCUGGAAAACAACCCUAGAGGGGAGGCACCAGAGGCAGUUGGUAUCUUCCUUAACAACCAGCACUGCCAAGAAAGAUUGCUUUCUGUUAAUAUGCAUGGGAGUCUCAGUACACACUGAGGGAGGAACUAUUUAGCCCUACUUUUUAUCACACGUAUCCAAAACGUGAACUUCGAAAGGAAAUAAAACUUAUUAGUUUAUUUCCCAGCUGUCACAAACAAGGAAUGAAGUCUUGGCAAAGACACAGAAGUUUCACUCUAUGUCAGAAUGAGAUAUUAACGCGCUUCAGAAACUACUUUAGAAAAUACACUGAAAGUGGAAAAGUGAAAAACACCAUAUAUCAGGGGUGCAAGAAAGAGCAGUGAAUAUAGUAAAUAGUGAUAAAAAACUGCACUGAUUGCUUACCCAGAAGCAUCAACCAAAAACCACAAGCUUGUUCUUCCCACGUCCUCCAGAGCAUCUCUCUCUGCCUGGCACCUGCUGUCUGGCUCACACAGCUCUGCUCUCACAACUGCACCUGACCACAGUGCAUCCUUCUGUACAUCCUUCUGGAGGUACAUGACCACAUGUACACCCACUGCAUGGCCAAUUUCAGCCAUGCUGAAAGGUGGGUGUUAGGUGAAAGGGAAGCACAAAGCGUCUAAACCAAAUUUAAUAUUUGUAAAAAGCCCUUAUGUGAUUAACUCAUGGAGAAGCCUGGUUGAAAUAGGGCAAAAAAAUGUUCAAUCAAGUGGUAUUGUGAAGUAAGCAAUUAUUUUAAUUAAAUGUCUGAAAAACCCUGUAUUCUUACCAGGAAAACAAGAAAGCUUUUGCCUAGGGUGAUAGUUGAAAGUUAGAUGCAGCCUCACAUCACAAUGUACCUUCAUCCUAUAAAAGUGCUUCAGUGAAAGCCGUAUGAAUUUUCAGCUAACAGAAUAGGGCCAAAGAAACUGGAAAAAAUACCAUCCAGAAAAUAACUCCGAUCCUUGCCAGUGGGAACUCAAUGGAGGUAAAGGAGUUAUGUUUAACUGCUGCUCAGAACACCCCUUUCCCCUAAAUGUCACUUCUCUGUCACUCCCACACCUACAAGACAUCUUUCCACCUGCCAAGCAAUUGGGUGUUAAAGUAACUCCCUGCCUCCACAUCUUUCCCUGGGAUUUUUUGAGGUCACACUGUCUUCCUUGAACCCAGCCAUAAACACAAAAAUAUCCUUCUUGAAACCUAAUGCUUUGUAACCCUUGCAGUGAAAGGCAAGAGGGCUUCCUGACCUUACCACUUACAGCUAUUAACUGCAAAAUGAGUCAAUCCUCCAGGGAUCAAAGGGGUUUGACCUGUUGAAAGAAGGCCCCUAACAAAAUACUCAGCCCCAGAAAGCAGCCAUCUUCAUGCUGCAUGGUCAGAUGUGCAGCAAAGUCAUGGAGAGGUCUCUCCCUGCAUUAUGCAAUCUCUCCUCUGCACCGUCAGAGCAGACACGAUGGCUGUGUCAGCAUGCACUGCAGUGCCCAGCUGCUGGCUCUGCACUUACAGGCACUGCUGACCUCCUCACCUGCUCCUUUCCCACAGCUUACCUUCCCCCGAGCAUCUUCCCAUACCCUUCACCGUUUACUCUGCCAGCUGCACCCUAACAGUCACGUCGAUGGGCCCCCAGCUAUGCAGAGGGCAUGUUUGCAAUCGAAGCAGUAAUUAUUGCUGUGUUUAUGCUCCACGUGACCUAAAUACAUUACCUGUAGUGUUAGAGAUCUGAGGAGCAGAGAAAAGACACACUCCAACUGACUUCACUACCUGGGAUAAAUCCACUAGCUUGCUGUAUAGCUCCUGAAGACCAGAACACUAAAGGCACUCAGAUUCCCCUGCAUUUAUGGGAAAGUCCCCUGAUCACCCCUAUGUAAAAUACUGAUACCAAAAAUCACGAUAUUUUGCCAUCCUUCCUGGUAUUUUUCAAAGACUCUCAACGCUGCUCUGGCUUUGCUCUUACUGUAGUCAUCUGAAGCUAAAAGCUUUUGAAAAAUCCCACCCCAUGUGCUAAAGAGACAGAAAAGAAAUUGGAUUGAUGAAAAAUCCAACACCAGUAAUGGAAAGAGGCACACCCUUGCACUGUGCUGCAUAUGCUCUGCCAAGUAGGGCCAUUUAUUUCAAUCCUGUAGCUGUCUCCUGCUAUUUAUAACUGCUGGUUUAAUGAACUUGCAGGGUAGACACCAAGCCUGAGCCUUCCCAAACUGAUGUUUAAGUAUUCCCAUUGAAUUAAUUCCAUCUUAUUAUGGAUGGACUGCUCCACAGUUAGACUGGCAACUUCCACUCCCCACUGAAAAUCAACUGGGACAUCCUCCGCAAUAGAGGAUCUUUGCCUGAAAAGCAAUCACUACAAGCUGGGAGGUGUUAUCAGCAAUUUAAAUUAUUAUAAAUCUUACUGCCUGUGAAGAGGUAGGAAAUCCAUUUAAGAAAAGCUGAAGAGAUAACAAACGCAUUUUUAUAAAGACAUAUAAGCCACCUCACACUCAACCAUAAGACAAAGAGGAAUAACUCUGUAAGUGUCCAAGAUGUGCAUUUUGAUGCAUAGUCUCUGGCUCAGGCUGCAGGCAGGUGCACCUACAAGUUGGGCCAGAUCUACUAUAGUGAAAUCACCAAUCACUUCCCUAACACUGUGGCAUUAUUACUUCUCCAUUUUGCCCUCAAGCACUCCCGAUAAGAGGUAACUUUGUGCUGAAGAGUUGCAAAGUUUGCACCUUGUAAGGAGAGGCCUGCAACUGAAAACUUGGAAAAACCAUCCAGAAAGUAUUACUGAUGUCUCUAAUCCCAUUUUCCACAGGUGUUUUCCAAUAGACCCUCAUCCUUGUCUUUGAGGCAGUGCCAGAGACAGUCUGCUGCUUGUGCCUCAGCACAGGGUAGGCACUCAAUGGACAUGAAGGCUCACUGUGGUCCCAGAGAGACUCCUGGUCCUGCAGGCUAAGCAUGGAGGGUUCCCUAACCCACUGAGUUAAUGAGACAUACUUGCAUACUUCAGGCAAUGUGAAAUGUUUCAGGCCUCGCGUAGGCAAACUGUUUAGAAGAACAGGCAAUGAACAGAAGGGCACAAACACCUCAGAAAGUGAUGGUUCUGAAGAUCUGUGAAGCAUAAGGUGAACAGAUUGUAUCUGACCCACUGUUGGGACAGUUAGUUCUCCAGAAACAGCUGGAUGCAUGCUCAGCAGGAAUUAUGGAUGUGAUGAAGCACUUAAAAGAAUCAGGGGCACCAUGGAUUCAAUCGGGAUUUCAGGCCCCAAGGUGGGCCUUCUUAAGAUAAAGAUCAUGUUGUCAAGUGAGAGAAUGCAUCAGAAAAACAGAACAGCUUGGCCUCAAGAGAUCCCUGGCUGGUAUACUGUCAGGGGUACUGCACUAAAUUGACAAAAAUAGUUCCAAAACCAUCUCUGUGUAUGCAGAGUACCACUUUUACGUAGGCACCUACAUCCACCAGAUGACAUGAAGAACCUGAGAGGGCCAAAAUAAGUAUUCAUUAUGCAAGAAGCGAAACAAGAUGUAAAGGAAACUAAGGAUACUAAUGACAUCAAUUUUGGUGCAUCCCACAGCAGCCAGAACCAACAGAUGAACUGUUGUACUUGGAUUAAAAAUGAAAAAAGCCUCCACUUAAACAAAUCACCACGGUGAAUUCAUUCUACAAGAUUGCCUACCACAAAAUCUUUUAUAUCCCUGAGGCAUCUCGAUAAACCAAGCACAGAUUAACCACCUUUCAGAAAAUGGUGCCAACUGAUGUUAAAGGAUCUGUCAGGCUCAGACAAUGCAUUAUAAUUACAGUUCUUUCUCCAUGUAAAACAUCCUACCAAGCAUCAUUUAAAUGCAAGUAUUCAUCAGUACGAACUUCGCACAUGUUCCUAGGACUUACAUCAAGCUUCAAGAAAGCCAGAUUCUCUAGAGUUCCACCUAUCCUACCACCAGGUUAUACAGAACUCAGUUUUGAGAGAAAUAUGCCUUUUAAAUAAGAAUUGUUAAAAGCUGCUUACUAACCCGUAGCCAAGGAAGAAGCUAUGUAUAUGGGAGUAAGGGGCUGCCUGCACAGCAAAUCUGAUCCAUCCAGCCCAAACCUCACCUUCACUGUGAGAGAUGCACACCAUCCAGAAAGACAGCACAAGCCUCAAAUAGUACCUUAAUAAAAUGACUCUGCUGCAAUGGUUUUCUCUUUCAACACAGAGCUCCUCCUAACUCACAUCUGAGGUCUCAAGAGUAAUUUCUGUACUGAGACCUUCAAGAACUAUUAAUGGUGGAUGGAAGAGGAAUUUCUCUCAGCAAACUGCAAAACCUUUACCGACCUUUGAUGGAUGACAUAUCAUCCCUUCCCACUCUCUUGCUAAACGUGUCCUCUAAAAACCACACUGACAGACAGAUCCAGAUUUUCAACCUUGCUCCCCUGUUGCUGUUUUUGUGUCCUGUAAACAGAAUCAUAGUUACACCCUUCAACUGGUUUAGAAAACCGUCAGUAAGCCUAGCCCUCAUGGGACCAUAUGCACAACAGCUGCCAUUAACAGUGUAAAAUGAAAGAUGGCCUCAACUUACAGCUACUUAUCUCUCUUAAGAUUUUCCAAAAUGUAUAUUCUGCAGUUCUGUUUAUCCAUUUCUGCCAAAAAUCAGACUGUACUGUCUUCAAGGAUGCAGGUCCUAAGAAAAUACUAUUACAAACUGCAGUUUAUCAGUUUCUCAGGUGCCUCUUUAGUACUUGUUGCUUUUGAGCCCAUGUACCUCGUUGAAUCCUCUGCCAAUGCUAAGUAUCACAAUCACUUCUGAUGUGACACUGAACGAGGAAUGGUGCUCCGUAAUGCCCAUUUCCAGUACACUGCAAAUACUACAUUUCCUUUCCUCCCAUCUUAUUUUUUUAAAGCCUUAUGCUGAGUUCACACAAAUCUCUCACUUCGGCAACACUGAUUUUUUCAGAUACAAAGUAGUUUUUAAUUAGAACAGUCGGUAAGCAGUACAGAAUCACAGGGCGGCUCAACAUCCCACAACUUGUGGCAUGAAACUUUUACACUUGGCCAAUAUCAAUAACACACCAGGCAAAUCUAAUCUUCUUGCCCUUCAGCAAUGGGAACUGCUUAAGACUUCCUUCUUGUCUUUAGAGGGGAAGAGAAGGAUAAAGACACGUGCGAAUGUGUGUGUGCUCAUAUGCAUGUAAACUCCUAUAAUUAGGAUGAGGAUGAAGUUGCCUUAUAUUUACAACUGAAGAGCAACAACAGCAGACAGCUUAUUGUUUCAUCAAAGCAAACCGCUUCUUUAUCCUGUUUCAUUGACUCUGUUCCAAUGUCCUGUUCUCAUGGUACUCUUGAUGAACUUAAGUCAGGCAGCCAACAGGACUUUGUGGUUCAGAGGAAAGAGAACUCAAGGACCUAAGAUGCUGCGAUCCACUUGCCUAUUUCCUUCUUUCCAUAAAUUGUGAAGGCUCUUCUCCUCAGAUGGGCAAACUGUAUCAACAGCUCUGCAAAAUGUUACAAAGCAGAGGAGUGAAUAUCAUUUUGCACCACCACAGAGCACAGCAGAGCCAUGCCAACACCUUCUCACUCCUAUUUUUCAAACUGAAAAAUGAGAAAUGAAAAAAGCAAGUCAUGCCUCUGGUUAAUUUCAUGGAAGUUUUGAGAAUGUUUAUUGUGAUUUUGGCUUUAAAAUCACUCUGAAGAAUGGAGAAUUUUCAAUCUUUUGCAACCUAUGUUACUGGUAUCAUUUGGGUGAUUAUUUUACAUAAAGUGCCUUGAGGCUUGAACUGAGGUGUGGUAUUGCAAGUUAUUAUUUAUAAAGCCGAUCCUAGACAAGAAUUUUGGAAAGGGCCAGGUGUUGGUAUAGUUUAAGGCUUUUUGCUCUUCAUCGCUUUGGAAUCACCUUUGCCUAUAAAAAGGUUUUUACCCUUGCCACUGAAUUCAGAGUUCUGAAUAUACACUGACAGUUUCUUAACUUCAACAAGUCAUUUGCUUUGCAGAUAAACGAACCAAUGAGAAUUUUCCAUUCUGCCAAAGAACCACACAUUUUUUACUUCUGUUUCUUCUAAUGCUUAAGUCUGUACCAUAUUUGUCAAGUACUGUUAUUCCAAAUACAACAUCAGUUUCAAACUGGAGAGAGAUCUAUAUCUUUGUUAUUGUGUUGAGCGUCUAAGGAGCACAGGAAUGGUCCAGGUAACCCAAGCAAGCUCUGUACAAACACACUGGUGUUUCCACAAAGAGUCUCCUGCUGCUGCGUACACCAACAUAGUGUCUACAAGCUGCCUGCUGCUUCAGCGCUUACCGAGAGGCACGCUUCCAUUGGGUUUGAGCCACCUCAAACAAGUACCAGGGAGGUGAGCCAAAUAAACUUGGAGAGCAACCACACAGUGAGAAGAAACCCCUUCGCAGACCGAGCAGAGAUGCACUUUCUCGUGGAAAAAAUCUCUGCAUGGCUGUGGGAAAGAAUGAGGAAGAGGGCAGGGGGUUCAGCUGGCAGCCUAGCAGAAAAAGCAGCAUCUAUCUGCUUUCCUUUUUCCUCCCUUUUCUCAUGUAAAGCAAACUAUAUCAUCUGCCUUGUAUCAAGAUGAGAAUCAACUGACCUGAGAAGGCAGAACCAGGCUUGACACCUCUACAAAUGCCAGCUGACAAAUUUCUGUGGCUUUCCAUUCAUUUCCAGCUGAGUCUUCCCUUCAAUCCACCAUGAGGGUUAACGAGGACAGAGGAUGUGCCUAAAAUUCUAGCACGUCAAUAUCACAGACAAUAGCACUGCACAACUACCAAUUUUCUCUCUGAAAACCCUAUUUUAUCCAAUCUCUUUCAAUAUGCCAUACUUCUCCUUCAGCGGGUCAGGUAUUCUAGGAACAAUUCAGUGUUCCAACAGCAUAAAUAUGUAUUUUCUCAUUCCCAUAUGUGUUUUAAGCAGGUAAGAAGAGGCUAUUUAAAGCCUGCUUAAAGUAAUGAAAUCAUACACAUUUUUUCCCAAGAAUACUUCCAUGUCACCUUCCUGGAUGGUACAGAAUAACCACUGCUAAAAGUUAUUUCAUUCUUACUGGUCAUAAUUGAAAGGCAAGGCCAGGCCAGUUAGAGCGGCUACUUUUAGAACUGAGGUGCUGGUAUACCUCACCUGGAGCAGGGAUUUCUAACAGUCUGCGGUUAAAGGAAGCCACAUUUCAGCUAGCACUAGUGUCAGCAGUCCUGCCUGAAAACAAGGGUGUGAACCAAUUUUCUCCCUGAGCACAAAGACAGCCCCCGCAGGCCUGGAAUACACUGAAAGGGCUCUGGAGCGGGAACAUCACCUUAAUACCUCCUCCUCCUCAGCGCAUCACACGAUAUUCCUGUCUGGGUUUUUAAAGCAGGCAUCUUUCCUAAGCAGCAAGUUACAUUAGGUAAAGUACACCUGUACACGUUCCUUUUGCCUAACUCUCUCCAAAUGGGAGAGUUGAAGGUUGUUUAUAAACUCUCAGAGCAUGGCUUGUUUGGCUGAACAAGACAUAGAUUUUUUUUUUUUUUUUUAAGAAGUAUUGACACUUCCAAAUUGCACCAACUCUCAAAUACCAAAGAGUAACUAGACCAGUUUUGACCCAGAACAAAAUGUUUAUAGGCAAGUUUGCAUUUAUGGACUGAGUGCUUGCUUGACUCCAUCCACAGACAUGUUUCAUCAGAUUCAUUUCUGUUGUACAAGCAGUUUGACCUCCUGAUUCAAAUUCAAAAUUGGGCAAAAUCCGAUCAUAGGGUUUUCACCAAAGAAGCUGAGGAAUCAACUUCAGGUAAGAUAUCUAGGCUUAGACUUAACAGAUCAAGAAAUAUAAAGAGAUAUAUCAAAUCAAAACACGACUUAAGCUUUCUGCUCAAAAAACAAAAGUUCAGAGUACAGUUUAGUCAACUUAAUUAUUACAGAUUUUACAGGUCAAUCUUUACAUGAUUGUCCUUACACCUGAAGACAAACUAAGAAUGAUACGCCAUCUGGACUGACAAUUACUUGGCCAAGCUAAUAACUGCAAAAAACGACAGAGAAGUACAUACAUAAAUUACCAUUUUUGUAGACUCAGAUACAAUGCAUAUUUCCCUAAAAUGUUUGGGUUUCCUUAAUUUAAAAUUGGGGUUUGCUUGCUUUAAAAUACAGUUGAGAAAAAAAAAAAACAAAACAGAAUAUAUGAAAAUCUUCCAGUGUUAAGGAAAAGAUUCCAAUACCUCACCAUUCAGUCCCCUCAUCUCACCACUAGCUACAUAAAUGGCACUUUCAUUUUAUCGUCUCAUAAUGCUUUCAUACACAUUUUAUUCCCCUCUGAAGCUUUUCUAAAGAUAGUAUCUUAUAUAUCAUACCUGCAACACAGUGUUAAUUGAGCCUCAGCCUCUGCCAGGUCCCUGAAACCUGCAGGAAUCCAAUACCAUUUUUAGUGGUCAGCAUAGGUGAUAAUGACUAGCCCUGGUUACAUCCAGCCAUCGCGCAAAGCAACAUUAUGCAAAGGCCAUUAACACAGCUGUCCCAGCAGCUCUUAAUCCUACAAACUGCAACAUCCUCAGCCCUUCUAUUCUUGGGUCUCUUCACAGUGGGUUCAGGACUUCUGCUUUCCUUGGCAUCCAGCACAGAUAUUUUCUUCUCUUCCAAAGGCACCAAAACACUGUGUACUCCCAGUGUAGAUCCAGCAAGACUGCACAGUUGGCCUAGCUCUGACCAGUGCCAUCCAUUUAUAACUAUUCAUCAGUUUAAAAUAACCUUGGGCAUGUUAAGCUAAUGUCCGCUCUCCCUAAAUCAGGCCUGGUUGUCUCCAAGCUCUGCAUUUCCCACCUUGCUCAGCUUCUUCUAUUUCCCCCCACAUAAAAAGAAAAUCAAAAUCCAACUCUUCCUCCUUUGGGGCCACAAUACAAUCACAUUCUUUUCUUUUGCCAAAUCACACCCCUCACUUCCUCACAAACUUCCUUUGCCUGUCCCAUUCUUCUAAGUCUCAGGGUUGAGUCCUAAAAGAUACUUUAAUUUAUGUCACAUAUACUCUUCUGACAAGCUGCCUCAAAUAUAAGCAAAAUAUUUCAUUCCAGCUUUCUUCUAACUCCAGAGAAUCUUGUACUGAGAUUUCUUGCUAUGAUUGCUAGUAAUGGAAGGCAGACUAAGUAGGUGAGUCAUGCUUCUUUUUGUCUGCAGAGAACUGAUCUUCUCCUAGACAUACUUUUCAUGUCAGCAAAGAGAGCAGCUGGAUACGUCACACACAUAGGCCAACCAGACACUCAAAAACCUUCAAUAAAGUUCCAGUAAGAAACACUGAAGCUGGCACAGCUUCAAUAUCCAACUAUCUCAAAUCAUCAUCACAGAAAUCUGAAUGGAAAUAAAGAACCAUUUAUAAAGAACAGAAAGGAAGAAAUUUCUGAAGGAGGUCUGGUGUCACUACACAUGCAGAACGAGAGGGAAAAAAACUGAGGAGAUGAGACAGCAAGUAAUUCAAUGUUUGGAAAUCCAAGAUAGUCACCUGAACUACUCCUAUCCUUUACAGCGUUCUAAAUUAACAGCGCCUGCUUGUAAAAAGAUCUGGCGACCAGUGCACAACAGCAAGUCACGGCCAGAACCUGGUAAAAUGAUCUGGAUACAUGAGAUGGUCAACUACACAGAAAAAGUUACAAAUUAUGUAAAUAUUAACACCAUUGCAUGGGACACCUGUAAUAUUGCGGCCUUCCAGUACUUGAAGGAAGUGCAUAAACAGGAGGGGGAACAGUUAUAUACGAGGGUGGAUAGUGCUAGGACAAGGGGGAAUGGUUUUAAACUGAGACAGGGGAGGUUUAGGUUAGAUAUUAGGAAGAAGUUUUUCAUGCAGAGGGUGGUAACACACUGGAACAGGAUGCCCAGAGAGGUUGUGGAUGCCCCAUCCCUGGAGGCAUUCAAGGCCAGGCUGGAUGUGGCUCUGGGCAGCCUGGUCUAAUGGUUGGUGACCCUGCCCAUGGCAGAGGGGUUGAAACUCAAUGAUCAUUGAGGUCCUUUUCAACCCAGGCCACUCUAUGAUUGUGUUGGGAUUUAAGUGAUCCCAUUCCCAAAGUACAUAGUGCAAAUAGGUCAGGUUAGAAGAGACAAGGGAAAUGCUCAGACAGAGAGAUGAAAAGACUGCAUAUGUUCAUAUGUUGAGAAAAAGUAGACAAGAACAUAGUGAAAUGUGAAAAUAACAGGAAAAAAAAUACAGUUAACCCUUUCUCAAAUAAACAUCAGAAACAAAGAUUAGCAAAACAAAAGACAGCAAAUCAAAAUCUGGUGAAAGAAGUAGGUUUUUAGCCAUCAGAACCAUCAGCUCAUGGAAAUUCUCCUAGGAGAUCAAUAAAUCCAGAAUCCAAAAAUGGAUUUCUACAGAUCUGGUCACUGGCAUGCAAAAAAAGAACAGAGACCUAAGUGUAAGAAUGUAACAUUGUAACAUUGAAGUUCUUGAGCUCCUGAAGACAGUUAGUUAGUUAUUUCCAUGUAAAGCCAAUUACUGGUUUCUGAGUGUUGACAAGAAAACUUCCUUAGGAACAACUAGAGAAAGACAGUUAUGAAGAACAAAUGGCCUUUGUAACUUGUUUUUCUUCUCAGUAUUCAUUCUCUGAACUAACUCAGACGUGACUGAUCUGAUCCCACGUUAAUGUCUUUAAAUACAAUAACUAUGCAGCAGCAAUUUCAAAAUGAGUGACUCGCAUCUUUCUUCAAAGACCAGGUCUUAAGACCCCUGCAUGCUUCUCUCUCUAGCUCAGGAAGCAUUUUCUCACUUACAAGCUAGUUGUGUACUGGAACUCCAGCCACCUGGAAUUAUUCUCAAGAAUCUGAGCUUUACCACCCUGAGCUGUUCCCCAUAACUUAUUAAUACAAUGAAGCCAAAUCCCAAGAGGAUGUGUUUCUCACAGCCUAUAGCUAUGGUCUUGGUGCUUAUCCACCUGCUCCUAGGAAAACGUUCCUAGCAGAAAGCAUGGAGUGGUUGAACCACAGUAUAUUCAUCCUGAGAGCCAGGGCAGAAGCUGCAACUGAUCUGUCCAAGCACAUCCUCAGUCUUUGUGUUUCCUUGCUAUCUCCUUACACACAGUGUCAACUUGCUUCUAAAAACGCUGGCCUGCUGCUGACUGGCACUAGCUCAGGAGCAAACUGAGGUAACACAGAGGGAUGAAAUGUCUGCUCUGGCCUUUUCCAAGUCACAACCAUCAUCCGAUAGCGACUAAUUCUGAUCCUGCAACACAAGAUGACUGUUUUCCUUGAUCCACUUUUCUCUGUCAUGAUCAGAUCAGGAGCAAAUCACUAGACAACGGACCAUUGUAGAGAGUGACAAUCAACACCAGUACUUACUGAGUGGUUUGAGGAUGCUGCUGCUUGUCUCAUCAGCAUUUUCUACGUCUGAUUUGUCAGAGUAAUUCUCAGAAAUUUUCUCCUUUUCUUUCUUUUCUUUGUGCCCAGGUCUUCUCCUAUGACGCCGCCUUCUCCUGUAGCUCUUCGGCACGUGGACCCCAAUGUAAACAGUGUGAUGACCUAAGGAAUAGGAAUACAACAAAUAUUGACUUUGCAUGCAGUUUGUGCACGAAUGAUCAGCAGAGCUCAUGCUGCAUUUCAUUCAAAUAGCCUUUGAAAACAUUAAUCUCUCAUGAGACACCUUGUCUGAGGACACCGAAAGAGACAGCAGUGGAUCAGCAACGGCAGUGUGUGAUGAUGAAUGAUCAGGCAGCCCACAGGCAGAGCUGUACGUGGGACAUGAGCCUGAGAAUAUCCUAUUCGAAAAUGCACUCCUAACCUUUCACUUACUUCAUUUAUCUGUGGGGUGUGUCAGGUCUGGUACUUUCCUUGCUGAGACUCUGCUUUUGUCAAUUCAAAUUCCACACACUCCUGAGGCCAGCUGUAAAGUUUGUUGAGUCGCUCACCUACUGUGCAAGUGAAAUGUUAUACCGAAAGCAUCUGAGGCUGCUUGACCAGCAUGGCCCUUCCUGACAACAACUUUAACAGAGCUAAUGGUAUUGCCCGAGGACUAUGCAAAGAAUGGAAUAACGAGCUCUAUUCAGAGAUAGGGCCAGAGGCUUAUGAAAAUAGCUCAUGCCCUAUGCAUAUAACACUGCCUCUCACACCCAUCCACAUGCAUGCUUCAUAGCCCAGUAAAAUUAUUUACGUACACAGAUCUCUAAGAGUAACUCUUUCAAAAAGCAAACACAGAGGACAAAUGAAAAAUUUUAAGUACAAACUGUUACUGAGUUACUGAAGCAUAGGAAAGCAUCUGAAAAAAGGCUCCUUAAAAACUGCAUUUUUUAUUCAUAAGGACUAAGAAAAUGAGAAGAGAAAAAAAUUCUCCAAUAAGACACACACUCAUCCUCAGAAUGGCACUGAAUGUGAUGCAUUUCGGCUCCAAAGUAAUUUGUCAGGUGGAAGUUGUAACAGAGACCAGAGGCUUAUGAAGGAACUGCUUCUCUCUGCUCAACCACAGACAUAGCAGUACUGGUGAUGGCCCUCAAAACGAAUCACAGCAUUUCUGGUGAUCAGAGUGCCACAGCAAAGUGCGUCAAAUAGCAGGGUGUUACUGAAAACGUCUCAGAGUGAAGUUACUCUUUAGCCAGUUCUAUCUAGCAUAAGGCAUCAAAAGGCUCACUGCAGAAACUCCACAGUGCACAGCCUAGGAGCCAGCAAAUUCACUGCUACGUGCACACCUCCUGAUGCUCUGGGCUGCUAACACUGUAUAUCCAUCCGGCACAGUACCAACAACUUGUCGUCUCAGGGAGCAGGACAAAAAAAGAAACAGAAAUCCAGGAUCGAGCAAAGUCCAAAGUGAGGCAGCACAACAAUGGCAGGAGAGCCAAAAUGGGCUCAAACCACAGAGGCCCUUGGAAACAGGCAGAGCAGUAAUGCCAAAGCUGGUGAGCAAAGCUUGCUACAGCAAGACUUGCAGAUCAGCAUCUGAAGACAGGACUCGGCUGUGGCACACAAAACCAGGAGAGCUAUUCCAGAAACUGGAAAUAUCAGCUGUAACACAGCAGAUGGCACAAAUGCUACGCAGGGAUAGAGAAAUCUUAUCUGAGCACAAGCAGCAGGUGUUAGGGUAGGGAUGGCCCCUGGGAAACAUAGGGCAGCGCUAUCUGUCCAAGGAAUUCCUACAGGAUCAAAUGCAAAAGCCAGAUGAAAAAGGAUGAGGUGAUUCUGUCUUUUUCUAUUUAGACAACAUCCUCCUUUGAAUCACUUUAAUUCUGUGGUCAGCUUGAUAAUACAAACACAUCAUAGUAAGCCCGUAGUCUUAAUGCUUUAAUAUGCUGCCAACAGAACUGGACAAUCUCUUUAAUCUUUUGACCACGUGUGCACAGUACAGAUUUUGGUGAUAUGAAACUAAGUUGCAUAUACGCAGGCCAACAUCUGCAUUGCUUAGCUGCUUUUCCCUAUUUUGCAUGGGAGAGCCUUAGUUAACGUCACUUUUUGUCCUUUUCCCUGCCUCCCCACCCCCUUUUUUUUUCCCUUUUCUUUUUAAUUUUUCUCUCACAGUCUGUUCAGAGUGACCAAUCAAGAUGUUUUCCUUUUCUGCA